rnacentral:piRNA from 1 species
GACCAAGACAAAGAUACUGACCUAGGCCC